GCAGCCAUUGGCGGAGAGGAUCCUUGCCAUCCCGAUUUCUGUACACUCCACACAGGAUGUGAGGGUCUGGAGAUAUUCCCACUACUUGAGGGUUCCAUUGAGCGGCUUUUUUCGAUUGUACAGCCCGAUGCCCUCUAGACGGAUUAAGGCUGCCUGGAUUUGGAGAGUUGCCGCUUAUCCGAGGGUUUGAAUUUUUCUUUGAAAACUUGCUUGGCACCGCCUCCGUACUCGAACGCUUCUCAGGGAGGAGGAGCAUGGAGGUUCAGACAGUGUGUCCGAUCUGUGGC
rnacentral:lncRNA from 1 species